rnacentral:rRNA from 1 species
UGACGAGUGGCGGACGGGUGAGUAAUGCUUGGGAACUUGCCUUUGCGAGGGGGAUAACAGUUGGAAACGACUGCUAAUACCGCAUAAUGUCUUCGGACCAAACGGGGCUUCGGCUCCGGCGCAAAGAGAGGCCCAAGUGAGAUUAGCUAGUUGGUAAGGUAACGGCUUACCAAGGCGACGAUCUCUAGCUGUUCUGAGAGGAAGAUCAGCCACACUGGGACUGAGACACGGCCCAGACUCCUACGGGAGGCAGCAGUGGGGAAUAUUGCACAAUGGGGGAAACCCUGAUGCAGCCAUGCCGCGUGUGUGAAGAAGGCCUUCGGGUUGUAAAGCACUUUCAGUUGUGAGGAAAAGUUAGUAGUUAAUACCUGCUAGCCGUGACGUUAACAACAGAAGAAGCACCGGCUAACUCCGUGCCAGCAGCCGCGGUAAUACGGAGGGUGCGAGCGUUAAUCGGAAUUACUGGGCGUAAAGCGCACGCAGGCGGUUUGUUAAGCUAGAUGUGAAAGCCCCGGGCUCAACCUGGGAUGGUCAUUUAGAACUGGCAGACUAGAGUCUUGGAGAGGGGAGUGGAAUUCCAGGUGUAGCGGUGAAAUGCGUAGAUAUCUGGAGGAACAUCAGUGGCGAAGGCGACUCCCUGGCCAAAGACUGACGCUCAUGUGCGAAAGUGUGGGUAGCGAACAGGAUUAGAUACCCUGGUAGUCCACACCGUAAACGCUGUCUACUAGCUGUGUGUGUCUUU